AGCUACAUAUACACAUAUAUAAAUAGCUGCAGUCUAAUUUUCUCAAUUAGAUCCCCAAUAUGGUAGUCAACCAUCUCAUGAUCUGAAGACCUUUGAUAAGCAAGAACCCAGCACUCCUUCCAGAAGAAGCCCAUUCCACUUGGCCAAGCAAAACAGGAUAACUCUACAGAUAAAGGUAGUGCCAUGUAUUUGGAAAGACCUUUGGCUUUGGGAUCAGGCAGGACCUGGGUUUGAAUCCUUCCUUUCGCAUUUUCUAUGGAGGUUUGUAAUUCUCUUUGACUCUCAAUUUUCUCUGUUACAAAAUGGGGGGGGGGGGGGGAAUAAUGACUAUAGUAUGUACUUUAUCAUGCCCAGUUGCUGUAAGGAUUAAAUUAAAUCAAGUCUCUGUGUAAACUUUAAGUGUU
rnacentral:lncRNA from 1 species